rnacentral:rRNA from 1 species
UCGAAACCUGCAAAAGCAGACGACCCGCGAACACGUUAAAAAGUACCAAGGUGGAUUGGUGAAGGGUGCGAGCCCUGAUCYAGUCCGCUUGUCGGGUCGCGAAGUYGGCGGCAUCCCUUGCGGUUGUGGCCGCUCCGCGUUCUCGCACAACUUAAAAAUCCGGCGCGAUUGGCGUCAAGGAAAUCUUAGCGGAAACAAAGCGUUGUGCCUUCACCGGUACAUCGCCAAGAAUCCCAAUACUCAAACGACUCUCGGCAACGGAUAUCUCGGCUCUUGCAUCGAUGAAGAACGUAGCGAAAUGCGAUACUUGGUGUGAAUUGCAGAAUCCCGUGAACCAUCGAGUUUUUGAACGCAAGUUGCGCCCGAUGCCAUUAGGUUGAGGGCAAGGGCACGUCUGCCUGGGCGUCACACACAGCGUCGCUCCCCACCAACCUAGUUGGUGAAGAGCGGAGAUUGGCCCCCCGAGUCCUCCGGGCACGGUCGGCACAAAUAUUGGUCCCCGACAGCGAGUGUCGCGGUCAGCGGUGGUUGUAUUCUUCCUCCAAAGACAAAAUGACGCGUACCUCGUYGYGUGCGGGAUCGAAACGACCCCUGAAAGCCGUUYGCGGCAUUCACCCUGCGACCCCAGGUCAGGCGGGAUUACC